rnacentral:rRNA from 1 species
UAAUUGAAGAGUUUGAUCAUGGCUCAGAUUGAACGCUGGCGGCAGGCCUAACACAUGCAAGUCGAGCGGCAGCGACAACAUUGAACCUUCGGGGGAUUUGUUGGGCGGCGAGCGGCGGACGGGUGAGUAAUGCCUGGGAAAUUGCCCUGAUGUGGGGGAUAACCAUUGGAAACGAUGGCUAAUACCGCAUGAUAGCUUCGGCUCAAAGAGGGGGACCUUCGGGCCUCUCGCGUCAGGAUAUGCCCAGGUGGGAUUAGCUAGUUGGUGAGGUAAGGGCUCACCAAGGCGACGAUCCCUAGCUGGUCUGAGAGGAUGAUCAGCCACACUGGAACUGAGACACGGUCCAGACUCCUACGGGAGGCAGCAGUGGGGAAUAUUGCACAAUGGGCGCAAGCCUGAUGCAGCCAUGCCGCGUGUAUGAAGAAGGCCUUCGGGUUGUAAAGUACUUUCAGCAGUGAGGAAGGAGGUAUCGUUAAUAGCGGUAUCUUUUGACGUUAGCUGCAGAAGAAGCACCGGCUAACUCCGUGCCAGCAGCCGCGGUAAUACGGAGGGUGCGAGCGUUAAUCGGAAUUACUGGGCGUAAAGCGCAUGCAGGUGGUUUGUUAAGUCAGAUGUGAAAGCCCGGGGCUCAACCUCGGAAUUGCAUUUGAAACUGGCAGGCUAGAGUACUGUAGAGGGGGGUAGAAUUUCAGGUGUAGCGGUGAAAUGCGUAGAGAUCUGAAGGAAUACCGGUGGCGAAGGCGGCCCCCUGGACAGAUACUGACACUCAGAUGCGAAAGCGUGGGGAGCAAACAGGAUUAGAUACCCUGGUAGUCCACGCCGUAAACGAUGUCUACUUGGAGGUUGUGGCCUUGAGCCGUGGCUUUCGGAGCUAACGCGUUAAGUAGACCGCCUGGGGAGUACGGUCGCAAGAUUAAAACUCAAAUGAAUUGACGGGGGCCCGCACAAGCGGUGGAGCAUGUGGUUUAAUUCGAUGCAACGCGAAGAACCUUACCUACUCUUGACAUCCAGAGAACUUAGCAGAGAUGCUUUGGUGCCUUCGGGAACUCUGAGACAGGUGCUGCAUGGCUGUCGUCAGCUCGUGUUGUGAAAUGUUGGGUUAAGUCCCGCAACGAGCGCAACCCUUAUCCUUGUUUGCCAGCGAGUAAUGUCGGGAACUCCAGGGAGACUGCCGGUGAUAAACCGGAGGAAGGUGGGGACGACGUCAA